GUGACUAAGAAAUCAUCUUCUAAUUUUGAGAACAGACACUUAUAUUCUUUGUUUCCUACAGCAAAAUAAUCAGAAAUAUUUGAAGAAGCUUUUUACAGUUUAAAACCUUCAGUGAAGAAGAACAGAACAAUGGGAUCCUUCAGUGUUUUCCUAGUGAUCUUAUGGCUUCAGUUCAUCUGGGUGAGCAGCCAGCAGAAGGAGGUGGAGCAGAGUCCUGAGACCCUCAGUGUUCCAGAGGGAGACACGGCAGAUCUCAACUGCACUUACAGGGACAGCAAUUCUAACAUAUUUAGGUGGUACCGACAGUACCCAGGGAAAGGCCCUGAGCUGCUGAUAUCCAUAUUCUCCAAUGGUGAACAAGAAGAUGGAAGAUUUAAAGCACAGCUCAACAGAGCCAACCGACAUAUUUCCCUGCACAUUGGGGCCUCUCAGUCCCUUGACUCAGCCACCUACUUCUGUGCAGUGAGCACACAGUGCUCCCCAGGCACCUGCAGCCUGCACUGAAACCCAGCCAAGCCUGAGGGCAGAGAAGUCCUCUUCCUGCUCCAGAAGCACUGGGAAUGAUGAACAAUAAUGUGGGGUAACCUGUGGGUGGACAGGAAACUAUUUUAAUAAUUCUGUGAAUACUCACCUUUAAAGGGAAACUGUAGGCAAAUAUUAGCUGGUACAGAUAGUUUUUAGUUUUCUAUUAUUAUUCUAAAAAUUUUAUUGAAGGGUGGACAAACACCUACACAUAUUUAAUAUGUAUCUUUAGAAGACUGAAACUAAAUAGACAGCCAUGAAAUUGUCGUUAUGUAGAUAGAACCAUUCCUUACAAGUUUCACUAUUUUUGUUCUUUAAAACUGACAUGGGAUUGUUAUACAGAAAGGUGCACAUAGGGCAUACAUCUUGAUAUGGACUCUAGCUUUACAUCACAGCUUCACACAAAGGAUUACCGGGUGAUAGAUUUUAUAUAUGAAGGAAAAUGUUUUAAUAUGACAGGUAUUUACUUAUAGGCAAUAAACUUUUUUCUGCUCAGUUGUUAUACCAGUUUAAUACACUACCUUUGGAAUACAUUGACAAAGCAGAAAUCUAAAGAGAAGAAAGAUGUCAUAAAAAAAUUCACAAAUUUUAAGCCAUAAAUUCUUUUAGUGACAGAUCUCCCACAUCAUCUCCACUCUCAGCUCCACCCUCAGCCGUGGGUUAGGUAAGGACCUCGGGUGGGCAGAAGGAAGGGUCGUAGAGUCAGAUGGUGAGAAUUGGUGAAAACUGAAAUGCUCAGGACUCUUUUCAGAGAUUUAAAAUUAGAGAGUUUCCAUGGUCUUGCUCUUGAGUCCUGGAUGAUCAGGUCUCAGAGUUUCUGGCCUGAGUCUUGCUU